UGAGUAGGCGCAGGUGGCUGCGGAUGGUCUAAAAACCGUCUGAGGAAAGUCCGGGCUUCCGAAAGACCAAACUUGCUGGACAACGCCCAGUGCGAGCGAUCGUGAGGAUAGUGCCACAGAAACAUACCGCCAAUAAUUCGGAAUUCGGAGUUCGUAAUUUCGAAUUUCGAAUUUCGAAUUCCGAAUUAUUGGUAAGGGUGCAAAGGUGCGGUAAGAGCGCACCAGCAACAUCGAGAGGUGUUGGCUCGGUAAACCCCGGUUGGAAGCAAGGCAGUAGAAACGACGGUUGGUCUUUUACCGGUUUCGGCAGGGGUCAGAAAACCUGACUUCAGCGAGUCCGCUAGAGGCGCUUGGUAACAAGCGUCCCAGAUAGAUAGCCGCCGCUUGAUCGCGCUGCGAUCGGGUAACAGAACCCGGCUUAUGUCUUACUCUUCCC
rnacentral:RNase_P_RNA from 1 species